rnacentral:rRNA from 1 species
GACAGAGGGUGCAAACGUUGUUCGGAAUUACUGGGCGUAAAGCGCAUGUAGGCGGCCAAGCAGGUCGGAUGUGAAAUCCCUCGGCUCAACCAAGGAAGUGCAUUCGAAACCGCAUGGCUCGAGUCCCGGAGAGGAAGGUGGAAUUCUCGGUGUAGAGGUGAAAUUCGUAGAUAUCGAGAGGAGCACCGGUGGCGAGGGCGGCCUGCUGGGCGAUGGCUGACACUGAGGCGCGACAGCGUGGGGAGCAAACAGG